rnacentral:rRNA from 1 species
UGGCGGACGGGUGAGUAAUGUCUGGGAAACUGCCCGAUGGAGGGGGAUAACUACUGGAAACGGUAGCUAAUACCGCAUAACGUCGCAAGACCAAAGAGGGGGACCUUCGGGCCUCUUGCCAUCGGAUGUGCCCAGAUGGGAUUAGCUAGUAGGUGGGGUAACGGCUCACCUAGGCGACGAUCCCUAGCUGGUCUGAGAGGAUGACCAGCCACACUAGAACUGAGACACGGUCCAG